CACGGGGGUUGCGAGCGUUGUCCGGAAUUACUAGGCGUAAAGGGCAGGCAGGCGGAUCCAUAAGUUUAUCGUUUAAGGCGUCGGCUUAACCGGCGUAGGGCGGUAGAUACUGUGGAUCUGGAAUGCGGUUGGGGAAGACAGAAUUCCUGGUGUAGCGGUGGAAUGCGCAGAGAUCAGGAGGAAUACCGAAGGCGAAGGCAGUCUUCCAAGCCGUUAUCGACGCUCAACUGCGAAGGUGUGGGUAUCAAACAGGAUUAGAUACCCCCGUAGUCCCUGAG
rnacentral:rRNA from 1 species